GAGCUGGAAAGCUAUCUCUCGGCAGACCUGAUGGUGUCUGUCUCCAGAUUGCUCCUCCUCUGGCAUUCCCCAUCCCAGAACCACAAUCCAGGGGAGCCCCAACUUCUCCCCACUCACCCAGGAUGAGUCCGACAAAGUCCCAAGGACUCUGCCUCCAAAAUUGAUCUUGAAUCAGCUCAUCCUCUCUUCUGCUUAGCCCAGAAAGACUUACCUUAUCUCUCACCUCGAGUCUUCAUCUUUCUGACCGUUGGCUUAAACCUUUGUCACCGGACCCCAACGUCGGUUGAGUCAGUCUCCAACAAGGGUUUUCCUGCCUGGUGUUCUUUAAGCCAAUUAACGGGACCAAAUUUGGUUCAGGAGCCAAGGAAAGCUUUCUUUUUUGGACAGAAACAGCUCCCAGCGGGCUCUAAAGCAUACCCAGCCAUGCACCUGAGGCUCCCGGCUCCCCGUGGUCCCCACGUGCUCCUGGACAGGCUGUGGGAGGGGCUACUGUGUAGGGAUCUCCUGGCGGAGGGGGCGGAGUUCCCUGCGGCUGGAGACCGGUGCUCUGCUGAGGCUCCAGGCAGCGUCUCCGCACACAGCGGCCACCACCAUCCUAGACUGAGUGUGGUGAGCAGUGCUUCUCCAAACGGCCUGGAGCUGAGACGUCAGUACUAGGGGCUCUGGCCCCCGGUGCUUGGGGCAAAGCGUCUACAGGCAGCCCUCUGUGAGCAAGUGAAAGGGACUGAACACAAAGGACUAAAGAAAGAUACUAGCAAAAUACAGCAGCUGCACCAUGUCCAUAGGAACGAGAUGUCCACUUAAUUAAAGCAUGGCCAGGCGGCGGGCGUCUUCUGCAGGGGGAGACUCAGCAUACUGGGUACUGACCGAACCAGACCUGCUGCCAAGAGAAAGCGUGGUCAGCAGGGAGCACCAGCUUGCCUCUCCAGGAAGAUGGGCUCCAGAGCCUACUUGGGUGAAAAAAGAAAAGGAAACUGGUAGGGUGAGAGGAAAAGGAAGAAUUGGGGAAUACAUUUAGCUGCUUAUCACCUGCUGAGGGAACUUCUAAGAACCAAUGUCCGAUUUCACUCUGCAGUCCUGAUGCCAUUGGUCUGGAGCAUGGCCUGGACAGCAGGAAUUUUAAAAGCCGCUCAGGACAUUCUGAAGUUUAAAGAAGGUGUAAAACUGGGGAAAGUAGAGCUCCAGGUAUCCGUGUGGAUUUGAGCAACAAUCUUCCUUACCAAAUUGCCGGCUUGGAUAAUCAUGUCUCAAGCUUCAAAGAUGGAGCAUAAUGUGGUGGUUGAAGAACUAAUCUUCCUUAUUUUGGAUUCUAGAUCUGCUGUUUACAAACCGUGUGACCCUGGCCAUGAUACUUAAUAUCACUGAGUCUCAGUUCUCUUGUCUCUUAAGUGGGUAUAAGUGUGGCAACUAUGAUUAUGAUGCUAUUAUGAUGUUUAAGGGAGAUGAUCCAUGUAAAUAAUUUAAGCUUAGGUUUUCUCAUAUAGCCUUUUCUCCCAGUAAAGACUGAUUAAAAUGAAAUUUAAACUUCAUAUGGUUCUAAGUGACCUCUCUUGAUUUAUUCUGUUGGUGUAGAUGGGAACUGGCUUGUUCAGAAACCUCCCUGGAUGAUUCUAACGUUCAGCUGGGGUCGAGGAGCAAUCUUGGUGUCUGAUUCUGCUUUCCCUGUUCUCGUAGGAGCUUCCCAGGUACCUCUCUCAGUGGUCUAGUCCUCAGGCUUGUUUCAGGGCCACUUCUAAACAGCUUUGAAUCCACAUAGUUUUCCUUUUGCUUUUAUAAUUCUUGUGUUUUUUUAAUCAGAGUAAAUGUGGAUUAUUACUUCUAUUUCAUUGUUUUUAUUUUUCUAAUGGCCAUUUUCCCCGAUUUUAAGAACCCAUGUUUAUUUUAUUCCCCACACAGAGACAAAAUAAUGAAAAUAUUAUAUUUUUGUCCAAAUUUCUAUGUAUCAUGUGUCUAUAAAUGGAAGUUUUAAAAUUGCAAAGGUAGUUUUGAAAGUUGCUUCUUUUGCUUCACCUUAUAUCAUAAGCACAGUCUCAAAUGCUACGGAUUUUUGGAAGUAUAAUAAUUUAUUCUGUUUGUCAUUCUGAUGUAUCCCACUGUAUUUUACCAUUCCCUUACUAUCAGCAGUAUUGGUUUCCUUGGGCUGCCUGAACCAAAUACCACAGACUGGGGUGGCUUAAAACAACAGAUAUCUAUCCCCUCAGAGUUCUAGAGGUUAGAAGUCUGCAGAAGGUGUAGGCAUGCUUGAUUCCUCUGGAAACUCAGAAGAAGAAUCUGUCCCCUGCUGCUCUCCCCACUUCUGGAAGUUGCCCCAGCCUCUGGUGCCCCUGGGCUUGUAGACACAUCACUCUAUUGUGUCUCCCUCUUCACGUGCUUUUGUGUCCCUCUGUGUCUCUGAGUCCAAGUUUCCCUCUUCUUAUAAGCUCCUCUCUGACCCAGCAUGACUUCUUCUUAACUUGGGUUAUAUCUGCAAAGACCUUAUUAUAAAAUAAGAUCACUGUUACAGGUACUGAGAGUUAAGAAUUGUAUUGUUUUGAGGGACGUGAUUCAACCAGGUAUAUCAGCCAUUUAUGACUUCCAUCUGCCUUUUUAAGGGACCAGUAAAGGUUUACCCAACAAUACUGGUCUUCUCAAUACUUCUACAUUUCAGCUCUUUAUAGUUUCCCGCCCUGCUGUGAGUUCACACAGGUGCUGAGGAAGCCAGGCCAAGGGUAGAAAUGGGGCCGAGUGUUCACUUCUGUCCUCCCUAGAUGCCCACCUUCCCUGGAGCAAGCUGGGUGCCUGUCUGGGAAGUCCAGGAGGGGCGGGCUGAGGCAGGGAGGGAGCCACAGGUGGUGGGAGCAUGGCUUCCUGCAGCUGCCUGGCCACCUGGCUGGACAGCUGUUCUCCCGACCAGGGAGCUGUGGAUGGCAGGGCUGCCUGGCUUAUCACGGCCUCGGAGAGUUACAUGAUGCCAAAAUGCCUGGUCGAAUCUGUCAGUUCUUGUGAGCAGCCGUUUUAGGGGGUGGAGGAGUGGCACCGGGGGCAUGGAAUCUCCAAACUGAUUGUUUAUAGUGCCUGCUCAGUUUAGACAAGUAUUGACCCGAGGACACCCGCAGUCACUGGUUCAGCUGGGAUUGUCUGUUCCAGGGGUCAGCUUACUACACCCUGCAGGUCAGGCCUGGCACACUGCCUGCUGUGUACAGGGAGCUAAGAAUUGCCUUUACAAGUGAACAUCUGCAAUUGAUUUGAUGAUGGGAGCCCUGACUUUGAAUCCCAAGUAAACAAAAACGUUCGUUAUCCUCCACCCUCAAUGAAUUUCAUUCUUCUCACGAUUAGAUCUUUAUUAUAAAAAAUUCAUACUCAAUGAUCAUAUUUUGAAUUUCAUCAAUAAAAAAUUCCUGGAAAACUUUUUUUCUAUCUUAUUAUGAAAGUAUGUGUUAUAUUUCCAGUACUACCUCUAGGCCUGCAAAGUCUAAAAUCUCCACUAUCUAGCUCUUAACAGAAAAAGUUUGGCAAUCUUUGGUCUGGCC
ensembl:lncRNA